UCUCGAAGUCUCUCUUCGCUCCUCUUGCUCUUCUUCAUCUUGUUCGAAAUCUUCUUGUACAUUAUACAACGUCAAGGUUCAUCGAAAGAGAGCGAAACAUGGGAGAGAGGCAGUGAAAGGCGGAGGAGCGCCUCCGUGCCCCACUCUUGUUCAGUAUUAGCACUGAAUUCUAGGGUUUCGUCCUAUCCGGCGCGUGGUUCGAGAACUCAGGUGCUUGAGAAGGCAUCACGGGCUGUUUGGGAGCUAAUUCUUGACGAAAGCGGCUUGGGGAAGGAGAUCAGUGAAACAGUUGAAAGAGUUUUCUGUAAAUUAAGUGGCCGUGAGCUGUUGCCACCACCCCAGCCUACUGGAAGUUUUGCUCAAGAGUCGAACAAAGUACAAGAAACACAGGAAAAGGAAGCAGAGAAGGUGAAGGAUAUAGAGAUGUCCGAGUCAUCAGCAAAGAAAAGGACCUUCAGUGAAAUGAAUGCGAAAGGUACAGUAGCUGCUAAUGGAGCGACUGACCAUCCUCCUGCAUCCCAUGAUGUUGCACCCCUUACAUGAUGUUGCACCACCCUUGGGCAUUGUACCACCAUGCCAACAUAACAAAUGCACUUGCUUGUUUGAUUUUAUGUAAGCAUUUGCUAGGUGGAUUUAAUGUAAAAUUUCACUCAGUCCAAUUAUUAUUAGUGCCCUUGAUUUGGUUUAUAAAGAGGUCUAUGAAAAUAUAUGGUAAAGCUA